AUGAAAAGGCAGCUAACCCUGACCGAUGGGCAGUUGAAAAAGUCCGAAGUUUCCCGGAAACGCCUGGAAAUCCUUAACAGGAAGCUGCUCCUAUUUGUCCAGAAUGCCCGGAAGCUAUUAAGUCCCUCCUGCACAUUACCAGAGGAGAAGAGAGCCAACAUUCAGGAUGAUGAGGACAAAACAAGGAAGCCCUUGGAAGCGACCCUUCCGUCUUCAGAUCUUGUGGGCGUCUUGAUAGCCGAGGCGAAUGAACUGUUGGAACCCGUGUCCGUGUCCAACGCUGCCAAGGACGCUUUAUUGCACGCCUGGGAUGAUUGCCCAGCUGGGAAUGCAACUCCAGACUACAAAGACCAUCUGCAUCAGAAGACAACGUGGCCGCCACCGCCGCCGCCUCCUCCUCCUCCUCCUCCUCCUCCUCCUCCUCCUCCAAGUGAGAACAGCGAGCAGAAUCUACAAACCCAAAGCCCUUCUUCCAAGGAUCCUUCUGACAAGCCGGCAUAAACCUCUCAGCCGCAAGAGGCUCCAGGUCCCGACCGUGACUUUUUUCCAAACCCAGAUUUGGAGGCCGAAGCACAAAGACUCGGUUCUAAGGAGAAGACACAUCUCCCAGUGCUUUUCCCAUUUCUUUUCGGAAGACUGAAGUUCCCGAUCCAUUCAUAAACUCAGCAACGAGCGCAUCCUCGGGGAUGGAUGCCUCUGGAUCGCUUCAUACAAACAAGCCUGUUUCCCUCAUUCUGCAGCUUUGGAAAGAAAACAAUCAAGGAAAAUAUGGCUGCAAGACUUGAACCUACAGCUGAAUGGAAAACCCAGCGUCCUUUGCAUUUCCUUUGAAAAACCAAAGUACUUUUUUUCUGGCUGUAGGUGAAGUAGCUCAGUUUUUAGUAGUUCUGCAUAGCUGUCUAUGGAUGCAUCACGGCCUCAGUUGGGUCGACUCUCAAUGCUGCCAAGGCUUCUUUGAGUGACUUGAUAUUUGGGUUGUGGAUGUACCGAAGAUGGAUCCUUCCCAUGCUGGACUGAGUCUGAUGAGGACUUUCCAGACAAACUGUCUUGUGUUUAAAACAUGGGGAAGGUGGAAAUAAUAUUCCUUAGGCAUUGGUUUUUCUGUAGCUAGCAAAUACCAUGGUAAGAAAUCGGAUGUGAGCACAACAUUUUUGGCAAAUAAAAGUGAAAACCUUGUCCUUCUUGUCAGUCCACGUUUCCAAAGGGAUGUUCUGUUUGAGGCAAGUAUAAUGGAGCAAUUACCCACCUUGAUUAGCAUUGAAUGGCCUUGCAGCUUCAAGGACCGGCUGCUUCUUGCCUGGGGGAAUCAUUUGUUCAAGGACUAGCUGCUUACUGCCUGGGGGAAUCAUUUAUUCAAGGACUGGCUGCUUCCUGCCUGGGGGGAUCAUUUGUUCAAGGACUGGCUGCUUAUUGUCUGGGGGAAUCAUUUGUUCAAGGACUGGCUGCUUACUGCCUGGGGGAAUCAUUUGUUCAAGGACUGGCUGCUUCCUGCCUGGGGGGAUCAUUUGCUCAAGGACCGGCUGCUUACUGCCUGGGGGAAAUCCUCCCAACAAAGGAUUUCCCAACAAAGGAUUUCCCCAGGCAGGAAGCAGACAGGCUUUGAAGCUGCAAGGCCAUUAAAUGCUAAUCAAGGUGGCCAAUUGCAAGAUUCAGACCUGCCUUCAACAGACAGGAGUACUUUUCAAGGACCGGCUGCUUCCAGCCUGGGGGAAUCAUUUGUUCAAGGACCGGCUGCUUACUGCCUGGGGUAAAUCCUCCCAACAAAGGAUUCCCCCAGGCAGGAAGCAGCCAGGCUUUGAAGCUGCAAGGCCAUUCAAUGCUAAUCACGGUGGCCAAUUGCAAGAUUCAGACCUGCCUCCAGAAGACAAGAGUGCUUGGACUUUCCAUAGAUAGAUAGAUAGAUAGAUAGAUAGAUAGAUAGAUAGAUAGAUAGAUAUAAUAUUAUCCAAGAUAUUCGCUUAUCCAAGGUUCUGCCGGCACGUUUAGCUUGGAUAAGUGAGACUCAUAUAUAUAAAAUUGUAUAUUAUAUAUUAUAUAUACAGUAUAUUAUAUGUACAGUAGAGUCUCACUUAUCCAACAUAAACGGGCCAGAAGAACUUUGGAUAAGCAAAAAUGUUGGAUAAUAAGGAGGGAUUAAGGAAAAGCCUAUUAAACGUCAAAUUAUGUUAUGAUUUUACAAAUUAAGCACAAAAAUAUCAUGUUUUACAACAGAAAAAGCAGUUCAAUACAUGAUAAUGUUAUGUAAUAAUUACUGUAUUUACGAAUUUAGCACCAAACUUUCACAAUGUAUUGAAAAUUAGACUACAAAAACAUUGACCACAGAAAGGCAAACUGCAUUGGAUAAUACAGAACGUUGGAUAAGCGAGACUCUACUGUAUUAUAUUGUGUAAUAUACAUUAUAUUAUAUAUUAUUUAUAUUAUAUUUAUAUAUGAAUAAUAUAUCUAUAUAUAUAAAAGAGUAAUGGCAUCACGGCGACCCACAAAACAACAAAACUACAGGCCUCCCAACCUCGAAAUUUGACAACACAACCCAUCAUCCAUGCCUCAAGGUUGAUACAACAAAAAGAAAAGAAAAAUAAAGUCCUAAUUACAGGGAGAGGAAUAAUGGUUUUUAUCCAAUUGCUGCCAGUUUAGAGGGCUAAUCUCUGCCCACUUCGUCUCCUAGCAACCAACUUAGCCCAGGGGACAGGCAGACUUAGGCCGCGGCCUCUUCCAAGGAUUAUCUAAUUUGCACUGGAUUAUAUGGCAGUGUAGACUCAAGGCCCUUCCACACAGCUAUAUAACCCAUUUAGAAUCUUAUAUUAUCUGCUUGGCACAGAAUUAUCUUGACCCCACACUGCCAUAUAAUCCACUUCAGUGUGCAGUCGGACACAACUGGUCUUAAUGUCAGGAGAAAACCUUUACCCUUUACCUUAACUACCACCAAUUCCUCAAUACUUUAUUUCCCAUACCACCAGACUUCGCCAUAGCAACGCGUGGCCGGGCACAGCUAGUAAUAUUAUAUAACUACAGUAGAAUCUCACUUAUCCAAGCUAAAUGGGCUGGCAGAACCUUGGAUAAGCGAAUAUCUUGGAUAAUAAGAAGGGAUUAAGGAAAAGCCUAUUAAACAUUAAGUUAGGUUAUGAUUUUACAAAUUAAGCACCAAAACAUCAUGCUAUACAACAAAUUUGACAGAAAAAGUAGUUCAAUACGCAGUAAUGUUAUGUUGUAAUUUACAAAUUUAGCACCAAAAUAUCACGAUAUUUAUGUGGGAUAAGUGAGACUCUACUGUAAUACAUAUGAUAGCUGUA
rnacentral:lncRNA from 1 species